GAAAGGUAUCAGAAGUUUUAAUGCUACCCCCAGAAAGUACUGAUGUGGAUCAGAAACUAAAUAUACAUGUCAGCAAAAUACAACAAUGCUCUGGAAAAUCAUAAAGCAGCUUCCACACCAAAUCUUGACACAGGUAAUACAGAACCAGAUGCAGAGCUCCAGGUUCCAGAUAUGUUCAAAAGAAUGGGAAGUUAAAAGAAGAAUCUCCCUCCUGCUAAACACACACACACCAUUUUUAUGUGUCUGCCUACAGUUUACUAGCAGGAGUCCAUCUUAAAAGCAGAAGACCAGAGUAAUUUUCAUUAUGUUCUGACAACAUGCAACAGUUAUUGGUGGUGAGUGGGUCCCACUUUGUCCCUGUAUUUUGCCCUCCCUCCCAGUCCCAAGGUUGCAAAGACAUAAAUAUGUGAUAACCAUGACUUUUUCAGUAAUUACUGAAAUAAAAAUGCGUAAUCAAGGUUAUUAAGUCUCGAAACACAAAAUGAUCCAAGACACAGUCUUCAAGCAUUGUGCCUGGGAGACUUCUUCUCCAGCACAUGACACAAAGCCAGCUUGCUCAGAUGUUAAACUUGUACACAUUUGCUCCAGGACUCCUAGCAGACCUGCAACAGUCCUCAGGAAUUUUGUCUCACUUUAGGUGUGCACCGAUAGGCACCUGUGGGUCUCCCCUGAGUUCUCCACCACACAAGGAUCAGCCCUUUCUUUUUUCGCUGGCAAGGUUUAAGAGUGAAUUUGUGAACUCUGUGGGACCUGAGAGAGAACCAGCCCUGGGCUGUUUCCCAAUUCACAGCUCAAAGUAAGAAGGUGUGAGGAUCCAGUAAACAGGAGAAAUAAAGAGAUCCCUCAGAUGCAGAGAGGAUGCCCUGAUACUCCUUGUUCUCACGUCACAGUUCAGCCACUAAAUGCUGGCAAAAAGCUUCUGCUGAAGAGAGCAAAGCCAGCUGCACCUUUCUAGCAGCAAACAGUGCCUGAAAUCUGCAGUGGAGGGAAGGUGUGGGUGCACACUGACAGCAGCACCACGGGUUUGGGGAGCUCACAGCACACACCAGGAGUGCAGCACUGAGCAAGGAGAAGACAGCUCUGGCUCAGGAGGAGUGCCAGCCCCAGGAGCACUGGGACAGGGCUGCUGGUGCUGCACAAAGACACAGGGGAUCGAACAAGGGGAGAGCUCAGUGCUUCUGACACCCACAGAAACCCUGUCCAGAGAAAGAAAGGGAGAUGAGGCCAUCUGAUUUUAUAAAAUUAGCAGAAUACUUGCAUAAUUACAGAGAGCCUGUGACAGCUGCUCACAGUGUCCACACCACGUGCUGCAGGUGGAGAUUUAUCCCCAGGUUUCCUGUUCCUCUGAAUGGAAAGCAACAGGGGGUGGGCUCUUGGCAUCCCAUAUAAUGGCAGAACCUUCAAACAACUACCGCGCCCUAGGACCCCAUUUCAAUUUUGGGGAAAGGAUAUGGACUCUCCUAGUGCCAAUUUUAGGGCUGCAGUCUUCAUUUUCAGAGAUGUCACGGGACAAAUAGGAGAUGAGCAAGGAACUCAAAGUUCCUAGGGCUGUUGGCUAUACAGACCUGGCUUCUGGAAUUUUCCCUCAAUACUCCCUAUUGAGUGUUUUUUACAGGAGAUGGUAAGGAGAGCUGUGCCAUUUAAAAUUCAAGACUCUAAAAUACCAGCAAGUGCAAAGACAACUGUUGGUAGUUUGAAAUAAUAAUACAUGUCUACAAAAGCCUUCUUUGUUAUUUUAUUUAUGCCUCAAUUAUAUUACUUCUAAAAACACAGUUUGGAAAGAAGGGCACAGCUCAGUGCAUAUCCUUUCACCUCCUUUAUGCAUAUGAGUACACAAAAUUCACCUCAGGGUCAGAAAUCAAAUGGUUAUUACGGCUUCAGAAGGAACAUCACACAUGCCGUGCUCUGUGGUAUCUCACAAUACAGUCUCUUCAUCUCCUCAGUCACCAUCCACUCUUUAUUAAUAAGCAGUGAGCUCAAAACAGAACAAAGCUUUAAUCCUAUACCUCUUUUGAGCAGGAUGGUGUGCUAUCCUCACUUGUUACAGCCUUUUCUUAGUGAUAUCCACAUACCAUAUACUUACAGUGAUAUUUACUUUAUUUUCAUUUCCAUUUAAGAGUAUAUUUUUCACAUUUUCCCUAGUGUAUUUUAACCACCUGUUGAGCAAUGCUAUCACAGUCUGACUGCCUUGGUCUUACCAUGCUUGGUGAGCUGCCAGAGCUUCCAGCAAUAACAAAAGCCAGUCACAGCCAUUCCUAUUAUUCUCGCUGCCACUAGGAAAACUGGCAGACUCACUUUGUCACUUUUGCAGCUGGGUGGCAUUUAUGAGAUGUGUUUCAUGUUUUCACAGCACCAGCUUGCAUCACAGAGAAGCACAAAACUAUAAUUUUAAUUGGAGUGAUCAUAGGUAUCAUUCUUGCCACUGUAUAUUACAUUAAGUUAAUGAACUCUGAGAGAUACACUUGAACACAUCAUCACCAUCAGCCCUAUUCAUUACAAACCUUAUGCUUCAUUUUCAUGGGUUCCUGGGUUAUUUUACUGGGGAUGGGGAGUAUGCAUCCUCUGCUAGCAGCUCAACCUUUUUUCUCCCACUCACAAAUUAUUACUUCUGACAGAGAGUCUGAAGUGACAGAGGAACCAAAGAAGCAUAAAAAGAAUAUACAAUACCCUAAAUCAGUACAGUACAUUCAAG